GAUGAAGAACGUAGUGAAAUGCGAUAAGUAGUGUGAAUUGCAGACUUUAGUGAAUCAUCGAAUCUUUGAACGCACAUUGCGCCCCUUGGUAUUCCAUUGGGCAUGCCUGUUCGAGCGUCAUUUACACCCUCAAGCUCACGCUUGGUGUUGGGCGUCUGUCCGCGCUUUCGGGCGUGGACUCGCCCCAAAUCCAUUGGCAGCGGCUCCGCCGGCUUCUCGCGCAGCACUUUGCGUUCAGGAAGGCUUUCGGCGGGCUCGCGUCCAGCAAGCACCCACCCAUUUUGACCUCGAAUCAGGUAGGGAUACCCGCUGAACUUAAGCAUAUCAAUAAGCGGAGGA
rnacentral:misc_RNA from 1 species